UAGGGUGACUAGCUGUUCUGGUUUGCCCGGGACUAAGAGAAUUCCUGGGACGUGAGGCUUUCAGUGCUAAAACUGAGAAAGUCCUGGGCAAACUAGGAGAGUUGGUCACCCUACUUAAGU
rnacentral:pre_miRNA from 1 species